rnacentral:lncRNA from 1 species
AAAAGUGAAGGAAGGGAAAGAAAAAAAAAGUUGUUUCAAGAUAGUUAUGUUUGAAAUAAAAGGACGAGUGGUAAGAGUUUUAAUGUAGUCUCUUUAACCAUGUUGGUUCACUUUAUACCAAAGGAAGUUCAUGAAUUCUUUUGGAAAGAUGUUCUAAACUUUAACGUUUUCUAUGGAUUGCAACUUGAAGGUGAAAUUUUUGUGUCAUAGUUAGUCUUGUUUAAGUUUCUAGUUUGUUAGUUCAUAUAUUUGUUUUUGAGUUUUGUUUUGCUUGAGGACAAGCAAAAAGCUAAGUUUAGGGGUAUUUGAUGAGUUCAUAUUAUACAAUAUAUUUUACCCUAUUCUUAGUUAUAGUUUAUUGGUUAUUUUGGUAGAAUUUUGAUAUUUUGUUAUAUAUUUUCAAUAUAGCACAUUCAAAUUCCUCUGGAGCAAAAAGUGAUCAAACUGAUGAAUUUUGGAGUGAUUCUAAUUGGAAGAUGGUCGUAAGUUUUUCAAGAUGAUUGUGUUAAAAUUUCAUAUUUUUCUACCAAGCCGUUUAACCGUGGCGAUGAAAUUAAGGCCCAGCACGCAGCAUUCCCAGAUUGACGUGUUUUGACGUUUGGGGCAUUUUGGAGGUCAAGAUCACAUAUUUUGAGAAAUAUUCCUU